rnacentral:misc_RNA from 1 species
UAAUAUUUGUUGGAGAGAGCUCUCCUUUUCAUUCUGAGGCUCUCCAUAUGACAUCAAAGUUAGAUAGAAGGUUGAGCGCGCUAGUUGAGGUUCAAGCAUGUGGUUCAAUGGUGACUGAAGAGCAGCCAGAGGCAAUGUUGGUCCCACUGGAAUACUUUCUAAUGGGAUUUGGAUUUUAUCGACCGUCUCAGUGCAAUGUCAGCCCAAGAAGCCCUUUAAGUCCAACCAGCAUUUCUCCGGAGCUUUUCUCGCCAGAAAGUAUGGGUUUGAAGUUAAAACCAAUUAAAA